rnacentral:rRNA from 1 species
CCUGGUGGUGGUGGUGGUGGUGGGGGGUUGCUCCGAUUUCCGACCUCAGAUCGGACGAGAUUACCCGCUGAAUUUAAGCAUAUCACUAAGCGGAGGAAAAGAAACU